rnacentral:rRNA from 1 species
GACGAACGCUGGCGGCGUGCUUAACACAUGCAAGUCGAACGGACAGGCCCUGCUUUUGUGGGGUGCUCGAGUGGCGAACGGGUGAGUAACACGUGAGUAACCUGCCCUUGACUUUGGGAUAACUUCAGGAAACUGGGGCUAAUACCGGAUAGGAGCUCCUGCUGCAUGGUGGGGGUUGGAAAGUUUCGGCGGUUGGGGAUGGACUCGCGGCUUAUCAGCUUGUUGGUGGGGUAGUGGCUUACCAAGGCUUUGACGGGUAGCCGGCCUGAGAGGGUGACCGGCCACAUUGGGACUGAGAUACGGCCCAGACUUCUACGGGAGGCAGCAGUGGGGAAUAUUGCACAAUGGGCGGAAGCCUGAUGCAGCAACGCCGCGUGCGGGAUGACGGCCUUCGGGUUGUAAACCGCUUUCGCCUGUGACGAAGCGUGAGUGACGGUAAUGUGUAAAGAAGCACCGGCUAACUACGUG